UACAGAGGUCUCAACCGUUGUUCGGAUUCAUUGGGCGUAAAGGGCGCGUAGGCGGCUUUAUAAGUCGGGGGUGAAAGCCUGUGGCUCAACCACAGAAUUGCCUUCGAUACUGUAGAGCUUGAGACCGGAAGAGGUAAGUGGAACUGCGAGUGUAGAGGUGAAAUUCGUAGAUAUUCGCAAGAACACCAGUGGCGAAGGCGGCUUACUGGUCCGGUUCUGACGCUGAGGCGCGAAAGCGUGGGGAGCAAACAGG
rnacentral:rRNA from 1 species